CAUCGAGACUCCUACGGGAGGCAGCAGUGGGGAAUAUUGCACAAUGGGCGCAAGCCUGAUGCAGCCAUGCCGCGUGUAUGAAGAAGGCCUUCGGGUUGUAAAGUACUUUCAGCAGUGAGGAAGGUGGUGUCGUUAAUAGCGGCAUCAUUUGACGUUAGCUGCAGAAGAAGCACCGGCUAACUCCGUGCCAGCAGCCGCGGUAAUACGGAGGGUGCGAGCGUUAAUCGGAAUUACUGGGCGUAAAGCGCAUGCAGGUGGUUGUUAAGUCAGAUGUGAAAGCCCGGGGCUCAACCUCGGAAUUGCAUUUGAAACUGGCAGACUAGAGUACUGUAGAGGGGGUAGAAUUUCAGGUGUAGCGGUGAAAUGCGUAGAGAUCUGAAGGAAUACCGGUGGCGAAGGCGGCCCCCUCGGACAGAUACUGACACUCAGAUGCGAAAAGCGUGGGGAGCAAACAGGAUUAGAUACCCUGGUAG
rnacentral:rRNA from 1 species